rnacentral:rRNA from 1 species
UACGUAGGGGGCGAGCGUUGUCCGGAAUUAUUGGGCGUAAAGGGUGCGUAGGCGGCCUUGCAAGUCCGAUGUGAAAGACCACGGCUUACCCGUGGGGUUGCAUUGGAAACUGUAGGGCUUGAGUACUGGAGAGGAUAGUGGAAUACCCAGUGUAGCGGUGAAAUGCGUAGAUAUUGGGUGGAACACCAGUGGCGAAGGCGACUAUCUGGACAGUAACUGACGCUGAGGCACGAAAGCUAGGGGAG